rnacentral:lncRNA from 1 species
UUACUUCAAAUAGAUUAUUUUUUGUUAUUAGUAUCUGUCCCCUAAACAAUUUGACUCUUUCUUUUGUAGCAAUGAACACGAGCAUCCCAAUUGCAGACCAGAUUGCUUCUAGAGAAGUCACUGGAGAGAAAACCAUGGACUGGUGAGCAGCUUUGACCCAAGGCUUUCCCAUGUCACAUCACAAUUUUCUGAGUUUGCCUGGAGUAACAAGACACUGGAUGGUAAAGGAAAUGAAUCCUUCAUAUGUUGUCUGAGCCCAGCAGGGAAACAGAAAUGCUUUCCAAAAAGAGAAAAGAAAGAAAAAUCUCCUGAAGAAUUCACUAACCGCGAGAUGACCCCUGCGUGCACUGAGAUACACAAGGGUGAGAGAGACGGAAAUCUCAGCUGCCCCAUCCUCAGACGUUCUCAUGGGACACAACGGAUUGUCUUCAAGGAAACAGGAGCAAUAUUCAGGUCAUUGCAUUGAAAUCUAUUUAUUUAUUUAUUUACUUAUUUCACUGCAGUAUCACAUCCUAAUUAUGG